rnacentral:rRNA from 1 species
GGGAGGUAGUGACAAUAAAUAACAAUACGGGGUUCUUUCGGAUCUCGUAAUUGGAAUGAGUACAAUUUAAAUCUCUUAACGAGGAACAAUUGGAGGGCAAGUCUGGUGCCAGCAGCCGCGGUAAUUCCAGCUCCAAUAGCGUAUAUUAAAGUUGUUGCAGUUAAAAAGCUCGUAGUUGAAUUUCGGGAUCAAUUUAUCGGUCGUGCCUACGGUAUGAACUGGUACAAUUGGUUUCUCCCUUCUGACGAAGCAUGAUGUCAUUAAUUUGGUGUCGUGGGGAAUCAGGACUGUUACUUUGAAAAAAUUAGAGUGUUUAAAGCAAGCAUUAGCUUGAAUACAUUAGCAUGGAAUAAUGAAAUAGGACGUUUGAUCCUAUUUCGUUGGUUUCUAGGAUCGACGUAAUGAUUAAUAGGGAUAGUUGGG